AACGAACGCUGGCGGCAGGUCUAACACAUGCAAGUCGAACGGGUCCUUCAGGACUAGUGGCGGACGGGUGAGUAACGCGUGGGAACGUGCCCUUUGGUUCGGAAUAGCCCCGGGAAACUGGGAGUAAUACCGGAUAAGCUCUUCGGAGGAAAGAUUUAUCGCCAAAGGAUCGGCCCGCGUUGGAUUAGGUAGUUGGUGGGGUAAUGGCCUACCAAGCCGACGAUCCAUAGCUGGUUUGAGAGGAUGAUCAGCCACACUGGGACUGAGACACGGCCCAGACUCCUACGGGAGGCAGCAGUGGGGAAUCUUAGACAAUGGGGGAAACCCUGAUCUAGCCAUGCCGCGUGAUCGAUGAAGGCCUUAGGGUUGUAAAGAUCUUUCAGCUGGGAAGAUAAUGACUGUACCAGCAGAAGAAGCCCCGGCUAACUCCGUGCCAGCCGCCGCAGUAACAC
rnacentral:rRNA from 1 species